CUCAGACUUGACGAGCGAAGCGGUCGGGCCGGUGGGGGAUAUCUGCGUGGCUUUUCAACACCGAGAACACCGAGGGGCUGACACACCGUGGUGGUUUUAUUUCUGCUGGACAGGUCACCUGCAGGUUUGAGUCUUUCAUAGCCCUGUACUUCUCACCAGUAUACACUGACCGGACCAUGCUGGCUGACCUGGAUUACAACCACCAUGUCCACAGUCCAGCCAGGACAAAAGCUGAUGACACAGUUCAGUACAGUAAGGUGUAAAACAAAAUGUCCAGGAAGUGGAGCUUGUACUCACUGAAGGUGGAGA